rnacentral:tRNA from 3 species
GCGAGGAUAGCUCAGUUGGUAGAGCAGUUGGCUUUUAACUAAUUGGUCCUGGGUUCGAGUCCCAGUCCUCGUA